rnacentral:rRNA from 1 species
UACGAAGGGGGCUAGCGUUGUUCGGAAUUACUGGGCGUAAAGGGCUCGUAGGCGGCCAACUAAGUCCGACGUGAAAUCCCCAGGCUUAACCUGGGAACUGCGUCGGAUACUGGAUGGCUUGAAUUCGGGAGAGGGAUGCAGAAUUCCAGGUGUAGCGGUGAAAUGCGUAGAUAUCUGGAGGAAUACCGGUGGCGAAGGCGGCAUCCUGGACCGACAUUGACGCUGAUGAGCGAAAGCUAGGGAGCAAACGGG